rnacentral:rRNA from 1 species
AUGCGUAUGUUGAGAUGGAUGUGUGGCCACACGAGGAAGGAUCGAGUCCGGAAUGAUGAUAUACGAGAUAGAGUUGGGGUAGCACCAAUUGAGGAGAAGCUUGUCCAACAUCGUUUGAGAUGGUUUGGGCAUAUUCAGCGCAGGCCUCCAGAAGCUCCAGUGCAUAGCGGACGGCUAAAGCGUGCGGAGAAUGUCAAGAGAGGGCGGGGUCGACCGAUUUUGACAUGGGAGGAGUCCGUUAAGAGAGAUCUGAAGGAUUGGAGUAUCGACAAAGAGCUAGCUAUGGACAGGGGUGCGUGGAAGCUUGCUAUCCAUGUGCCAGAGCCAUGA